AUUGACGCUGGCGGCAGGCCUAACACAUGCAAGUCGAACGAGUGGCAGACGGGUGAGUAAUGUCUGGGACACUGCCUUAUGGAGGGGGAUAACUACUGGAAACGGUAGCUAAUACCGCAUACCAUCAGAUGUGCCAAGAUGGGAUUAGCUAGUAGGUGGGGUAAUGGCUCACCUAGGCGACGAUCCCUAGCUGGUCUGAGAGGAUGACCAGCCACACUGGAACUGAGACACGGUCCAGACUCCUACGGGAGGCAGCAGUGGGGAAUAUUGCGCAAUGGGCGCAAGCCUGAUGCAGCCAUGCCGCGUGUGUGAAGAAGGCCUUCGGGUUGUAAAGCACUUUCAGCGAGGAGGCGUUACUCGCAGAAGAAGCACCGGCUAACUCCGUGCCAGCAGCCGCGGUAAUAC
rnacentral:rRNA from 1 species